GGGGUUAUGACUCAGUGGAAGAGACUGUUGUGCAUACAGAAGGUCGCAGGUUCAAUUCCUGCCAUCUCCA
rnacentral:tRNA from 1 species